rnacentral:rRNA from 1 species
ACGUACACUCCUGCGGGAGGCAGCAGUGGGGAAUAUUGGACAAUGGGCGCAAGCCUGAUCCAGCCAUGCCGCGUGAGUGAUGAAGGCCCUAGGGUUGUAAAGCUCUUUCACCGGUGAAGAUAAUGACGGUAACCGGAGAAGAAGCCCCGGCUAACUUCGUGCCAGCAGCCGCGGUAAUACGAAGGGGGCUAGCGUUGUUCGGAUUUACUGGGCGUAAAGCGCACGUAGGCGGACUAUUAAGUCAGGGGUGAAAUCCCGGGGCUCAACCCCGGAACUGCCUUUGAUACUGGUAGUCUUGAGUUCGAGGGAGGUGAGUGGAAUUCCGUGUGUAGAGGUGAAAUUCGUAGAUAUUCGGAGGAACACCAGUGGCGAAGGCGGCUCACUGGCUCGAUACUGACGCUGGGGUGCGAAAGCGUGGGGAGCAAACAGGAUUAGAUACCCCAGUAGUCCCAUGAU